rnacentral:rRNA from 1 species
UGCAAGUCGAGCGAGAAAGCUCUCUUCGGAGAGUGAGUAGAGCGGCGCACGGGUGAGUAACGCGUGGAUGAUCUACCCUGAAGAUCGGGAUAACAGUUGGAAACGACUGCUAAUACCGUAUAACCUACAUAUUUAACUUUAUGUGGAAAAGGUGGCCUCUAUUUAUAAGCUACCACUUUUGGAUGAGUCCGCGUCUCAUUAGCUUGUUGGUGGGGUAAUGGCCUACCAAGGCAACGAUGAGUAGCUGGUCUGAGAGGAUGAUCAGCCACACUGGGACUGAAACACGGCCCAGACUCCUACGGGAGGCAGCAGUGGGGAAUAUUGCGCAAUGGGGGAAACCCUGACGCAGCGACGCCGCGUGUAGGAAGAAGGCCUUCGGGUCGUAAACUACUGUCAAGAGGGAAGAAACUGUUAGGGUAUAAUAUGCCUUUUCACUGACGGUACCUCUAGAGGAAGCACCGGCUAACUCCGUGCCAGCAGCCGCGGUAAUACGGAGGGUGCAAGCGUUAAUCGGAAUCACUGGGCGUAAAGCGUGCGUAGGCGGCGCUUCAAGUCAGACGUGAAAGCCCUCGGCUCAACCGAGGAAUUGCGUUUGAAACUGGAGUGCUAGAGUCUCGGAGAGGUUGGCGGAAUUCCAGGUGUAGGAGUGAAAUCCGUAGAUAUCUGGAGGAACACCGGUGGCGAAGGCGGCCAACUGGACGAGUACUGACGCUGAGGUACGAAAGCGUGGGGAGCAAACAGGAUUAGAUACCCUGGUAGUCCACGCCGUAAACGAUGGAUAUUAGGUGUCGGGUUUUAAAUUCGGUGCCGCAGUUAACGCGUUAAAUAUCCCGCCUGGGGAGUACGGUCGCAAGGCUGAAAACUC